rnacentral:rRNA from 1 species
GAUGAACGCUGGCGGCGUGCUUAACACAUGCAAGUCGAACGGAAAGGCCCCAGCUUGCUGGGGUACUCGAGUGGCGAACGGGUGAGUAACACGUGGGUGAUCUGCCCUGCACUUUGGGAUAAGCUUGGGAAACUGGGUCUAAUACCGAAUAUGACCACUUCUUGGAUGUUGUGGUGGAAAGCUUUUGCGGUGUGGGAUGAGCCUGCGGCCUAUCAGCUUGUUGGUGGGGUAAUGGCCUACCAAGGCGGCGACGGUUAUCGGGCCUGAGAGGGUGUAGGGAGACAUUGGGACUGAGAUACGGCCCAGAAUCAUACGGGAGGCAGCAGUGGGGAAUAUUGCACAAUGGGCGCAAGCAUGAUGCAGCGACGCCGCGUGGGGGAUGAAGGCCUUCGGGUUGUAAACUCCUUUCGCUAUCGACGAAGCCACUUGUGGUGACGGUAGGUAGAUAAGAAGCACCGGCUAACUACGUGCCAGCAGCCGCCGUAA